GUACUUGCUUUGGCAGCACAUACCCUAAAACUGGAAUGAUACAGAGAUUAGCCUGGCUCUUGUGCAAGGAUGACACACAAAUUUGUGAAGUGUUCCAUAUUUAA
ensembl:snRNA RNU6-824P RNA, U6 small nuclear 824, pseudogene